AGGGAGGAUGCUAAGAGGAAAGGAGAUUGGAGCUGGUUGCAUAUCUAUCUACUAACAGAGGAGGGAAGGAGGUGAAGGUAAAGGAGAGGAUGGGUCAACACUACAAAUAUAGUUGGAGCAGUCUACCAUGGAGCCACAGUGACAGGAUACUUCCUUCUCAUGCCUGGCCAGUAGUGAAUUUAAAAGAGUAUAGCAGGAAGAGUAUCAGUAGUAAUUCACUUUCUACGGUGAAAUAAAUGGUUUGAUCAGGAUUGAAAAUCGAUUUUGUCAUGAAGAUAUAGCCAAUAACAACUGUUUACAUGGUGGAGACAUGUUGAAAUGAUCCGGAUUACGUGAGAAACAAAUUGAGUGAAUAUACACAAAUACGCUGAAAAUAAAACUUUGGAGUCACA